CGCCUCUCGACGCUUCUGUGCAGGCGCCGCUGGAGGCGUGUGUGGGGCUCCUGACCCGGCGAGAGGGGCCGCGCUGAGGGGGCUUCGCCACUGGCCCUGGAGGACAGGACCGGAAGAGGCUGAUGUUGACGGGCAGAGCCAAAGGAAGUCUCUACGGCGGCCCAACCCCAGGAUCCUGAGAUUAAAGGUCUCAAACCCUAAAGUCUUAACGGACGAGGGUUGGGAGUUGACUCGAUCUCCACGCCUUUAUCAGGAGAUUCGUUUGCCAAGAUCAGAGACUAAGAAAGAGAAAAGAUUGUGUGGACUAAAGUCCGCAAUUAACCAGAGAGGAAACACGAUUUUGUGCCAGAUUGGACGUGCGGUGUGAGAGAAAGGCCGGCGUCAAGUCUUUUGGCCUGAGCCUGCCAUCAACUAAGAUUUCAUCUCUAGAAGUUGGAUUUUGGUCUUGUGAUAUCUUCCACCUCUCCACUUUACUGAGAAUCCACUAUCCUCCAUGGAGACAGGCACCAUCAAGGACAAGCACCUGGAUCAUCUCCACCCCACAAAGAGAUACAGGCUGGUGGGAAAGCUGCUGACCAGCAAGGGCAUAUGCUCCCCCUCCCCUAUCUAAAACCCCUAUCUAAAACUCCUUUUAGCUUUUUGGGGAGUUUGGGAUUUCAGCGUUAGCUGCCCUCUCUCCUUACUCAGCGCUGUGCAAAAAUAAAAUUCCUGCUUUCUUUCACCACUACCGGUGUCAGAGAUUGGCUUGCUGUUCCAUAACACUGUGAUGCAGGAACAAAAUCAAAAUGCAGUGAUUUGCUAUCUUGAGGAUGAUGGAAAAUGUAUGCAAAAGCAGACAGACUGAGAUUUAUAAUGGUUUGAUUAGUAAAAAGCUUAGGAAGGAACCUCAAGGGCACACAGGACAAUUAGACAAUGGGCUUAACGAGUAUAUUCACGAUGACAAAAAAAAAGUGGGAUUAAGGGAAGAGGAAAUGGACAAAGUCAUUCCACAUUGAAACAAUCUAUAAAAGACAAA
rnacentral:lncRNA from 1 species